GAUGAACGCUAGCGGGAGGCUUAAUACAUGCAAGUCGAGCGAGAAGGUGGAGUGCUUGCACUCUGCUGGACAGCGGCGCACGGGUGAGUAACGCGUACGUAACCUACCCUAUACAGAGGGAUAGCCCCGGGAAACUGGGAUUAAUACCUCAUGGUCUGUGGUCAUCGCAUGAUGAUUAUAGUAAAGCUCCGGCGGUAUAGGAUGGACGUGCGUACUAUUAGCUAGAUGGUGAGGUAACGGCUCACCAUGGCGAUGAUAGUUAGGGGGCGUGAGAGCGUGAUCCCCCACACGGGUACUGAGACACGGACCCG
rnacentral:rRNA from 1 species